rnacentral:rRNA from 1 species
UACGUAGGGUGCAAGCGUUAAUCGGAAUUACUGGGCGUAAAGCGUGCGCAGGCGGUUAUGUAAGCCAGGGGUGAAAUCCCAGGGCUUAACCUUGGAACUGCAUUUGUGACUGCAUAGCUAGAGUACGGUAGAGGGGGAUGGAAUUCCGCGUGUAGCAGUGAAAUGCGUAGAUAUGCGGAGGAACACCGAUGGCGAAGGCAAUCCCCUGGACCUGUACUGACGCUCAUGCACGAAAGCGUGGGGAGCAAACAGG